AUUUUCCCCAUUUGGCCGAAACAAGGGAGAGGAAAAGGAGGGAAUUUUCUUCAUCUUCAACCUCAAGUCUUAAGAACUCCAUAACCAAUCCUUCUUCACAUCUUCAUCAAAGAUUCGGGUUUCAAGAAGGAAUUGGGGAAAAUCCACCAAAA